UGGGGAAUUUUGGACAAUGGGCGAAAGCCUGAUCCAGCAAUACCGCGUGUGUGAGGAAGGCCUUCGGGUCGUAAAGCACUUUCAGUUGUGAAGAAACAAGCAUGGUAAAUAGCCAUGCCCAAUGACGUUAUCAACAGAAGAAGCACCGGCUAACUCUGUGCCAGCAGCCGCGGUAAUACAGAGGGUGCAAGCGUUAAUCGGAAUUACUGGGCGUAAAGAGCACGUAGGUUGUUUGUUAAGUCAUGUGUGAAAGCCCCGAGCUCAACUUGGGAACUGCACGUGAUACUGGCAAGCUAGAGUAUAGCAGAGGGAAGUGGAAUUUCCGGUGUAGCGGUGAAAUGCAUAGAUAUCGGAAGGAACAUCAGAGGCGAAGGCGACUUCUUGGGCUAUUACUGACACUGAGGUGCGAAAGCGUGGGUAGCAAACAGG
rnacentral:rRNA from 1 species